UUAUUUGAGAGUUUGAUCCUGGCUCAGGAUGAACGCUGGCGGCGUGCCUAACACAUGCAAGUCGAACGAAGCGCCUUUUGAGAUUCUUCGGAUGAUCAUUUGGUGACUGAGUGGCGGACGGGUGAGUAACGCGUGGGUAACCUGCCCUGUACAGGGGGAUAACAGCCAGAAAUGGCUGCUAAUACCGCAUAAGCGCACGUGAGGACAUCCUCAAGUGUGAAAAACUCCGGUGGUACAGGAUGGGCCCGCGUCUGAUUAGCUGGUUGGCGGGGUAACGGCCCACCAAGGCGACGAUCAGUAGCCGGUCUGAGAGGAUGAACGGCCACAUUGGAACUGAGACA
rnacentral:ncRNA from 1 species